rnacentral:tRNA from 1 species
GUCGUUGUAGUAUAGUGGUAAGUAUUCCCGCCUAUCACCCGGGUGACCCGGGUUCGAUCCCCGGCAACGGCG